ensembl:lncRNA
AUGUAUAAGGAGACCCAAGGGGAUGGAUGGAGGGCUGCUAGGAGGCACAGACACAACCAGAACAUACUGCUGAGAGAAAAGACAGGAAAAGAGGGGGAAAGACAGCAUCUGUACACGUUCACUUCUUCCCAAGUUGACAGCAGAAACAAAGCAGUCGAGGAACAUGUCAAUCAAACAUCCUUCAUUCAGCAGAAGCAGCACAGAGCUAAUGUACGUGAGUCAGUGCGCCUUCAGCUUUUGAAAGGGUGCUAAUUAUCACUGAAUAGAUGACGUAAGAGCAUUAAAGAUUAAUAAGACUUUAUCAAACUUUAAAUAAAUGUAAUAUUCGGUUUAAUCAUGCAAGGUUUUUUUCCUCAGUGAGGCUGAACCUUAUCACUUCUCCUCUCAGGGGAAGGUUGAACAGCUGUCUGCAUCCUUAAGAAACAUCCUCCGGCUGCAAGUUCACUGUUAAUCAGACCGAUAACCGUACUGCAUUCCCUAGAGAUCUGCUGUAACACUGCUUAUUUUACAAUCUGCUCCUGUAGAAUGAGUUAGCAAAAAUACAGCUUUCCUGGAUCAAUUUUACUGAGGUGCUGAAUGCACUGAGGCCCAAAAGAGCGUGAAAAGAAGAAAAAUCAAUGGAUCAGGGAUCAGCAAGGAAGUAAUACACUGCAAAAAAUUACAUUUUAUUAAAUAAUUUUUUUGUCAUUCUUAAAGAUAAAUCUACAUGGGAAGCUAAAUUGUGUAAGAAAAUAAGACUUUUCCACAGAAUGUCUUAAGUUCAGUUUCAUUUUCUUACCGCAUUGUUCAAAAAUUGUGAAAUAGCUUUUCAGCAGCUCAAACAGCAUGAUGCCAAGGAAUCAGGAACUGAAAAAUGCAAUCCAAGUGACUUUGGAUAAAAGUGUCUGCCAAAUGUAAUGUACUGUAAAUAGUUUUUUUUUUUUUUUUUUAACCAAGAAAUAAAGAAAACUAUCUGGCAAUGUGUUAAAGAAAAAUAAAUUUAAUUCCAGUCUGAGUGUAACAUAAGACCCGACAUAAGUGAAUUUUCUUAACACGUUAGUUGUUUUCUUGCUUGUAAACAAAUAUUUGAAAUGUAUUUUAAGGAUAUUAACAUAAAAUAUACAUAUUUUAUAUAUAUGUAUCUUUAGUGCAUUAAUAUGCACCUAGGUGCAAAUAAGGUACAAAAGUGCACCACCCCAGUGAGAGUUUUUGUACCUUUUUUUUUAAAGAGUGUAUGUGAGUCUUUAGGAGGGAGCAGGUGCUUGGAGAGGUGCAUGUGGUGGGGGGGGGAUGAAAGAAAAAGAAACACACAAACAAAAUAUGAGAAACACCCAUUCUAUUGACUAAGGCAUGUAAGUUGAACAUUUAUCCUACAGAUUCACAAUCCAGCCUCACAGCCUUGAUGGUGCACAGGUCAACCGAAAUGCAAAGGAGAAAGUGAAAUGAGAGGGAAACCGGUUCCUUCUGAUCCUACAGAGUAACGGCGCCCUCCACUGUAAGCAUGGAAGAGAAGACACAAAAUUCUUAACAAAUUUAUCUCAGACAAAUAUCUAAUGUUAAAGUAAACAUUCUCCACCCAAAAAUUUUAUGUUUUAAAAUCAAGAUUUUAACAAAAUGUUGGUCCUUUUCUCAAAUUGAU